CUAAGUGAUUGGAUUAAAUAUAAUCAAAUGAAUUGAUGUCAAUCACCUCACUGCCUUGCUAAUUAGAAUCUAAAAUGAUUGUACAACGAUACACUCUUGUAGUGAGUAAUUAAUGGAUGAAGGAAAUAAUUAAUUGGAUUAAUUAAGUGUUGUGAUUAAUUUAGAAAGUCUAAAGAAAUCAUGAAAGCGAUAAAAGAUCAUUUUGGGCUUAAAGAAACGUUCGGGUUUAAUUGGGCCCAUUGGGCCUAAACCCAUUGGGCUUUUAU
rnacentral:lncRNA from 1 species